GCCUACGGGGGGCAGCAGCGAGGAAUAUUGGUCAAUGGUCGGGAGACUGAACCAGCCAAGCCGCGUGAGGGAUGAAGGUACAGAGUAUCGUAAACCUCUUUUGUCAGGGAACAAAGGCGGGGACGUGUCCCCGGAUGAGUGUACCUGAAGAAAAAGCAUCGGCUAACUCCGUGCCAGCAGCCGCGGUAAUACGGAGGAUGCGAGCGUUAUCCGGAUUUAUUGGGUUUAAAGGGUGCGCAGGCGGUCUGUUAAGUCAGCGGUCAAAGCCCGGGGCUCAACCCCGGCCCGCCGUUGAAACUGGCAGU
rnacentral:rRNA from 1 species